ACACCACAAACAAUACAGAUAUUUGUCUGAGAUAUGCUUGGCGGGGUGCCUUAUCACGGCCAGAAAAUGGAGGAGCACGGCCGAGAUGUUUAGCAGAGGCCAGGCCACCAGCAAGGGCCAAACUGACACCCUCCUGGAAACCUCUUCUCUGCAGCUGAGAAAAACUUCAGGGCUUAUAUUGCUGGAUGAAAGUGCCAUUUGCAGGCUUAAGGCCAAAUACCAUUACUAAGCCCUGGGAUUUAGCUCCUGAAAGAAAAUCUCUGGCCCUCCCCCACCCCACCUCCUCCUUGCCCAUCGUAAGAGUAGUGGCCCUCUAGUGUUUCUGGCAAUGAUUCCUCCUCCAGGUAACAGCAUGUUCACCUUGCCCACCCCUCCCCUACUCUCAGUCUCCACUCAGCUGAUUUGAGUUGGCCCAUGAUGCUGACAGCAAACCCCUGGUCAUACUGACUGAUUCAGGAGUUACCCUUUUGGAGCCCACAAACAUGACUCCUGAGAUUCUGCUGGAACUAUUGGGAAAUAUAAGCUGUUCAUCAACUGGAAUUACUAAUCUGGUAGCACAAAAUCUUAACAGCUGCCAGAAGCUACCAUGUGGACAGAACCUGCUGGGGAAUUAAAACCAACACAAAGGAAAGCAGCACAAUUAACACAGAGAAAAAAAAGAGACUUUGUCUUUAGGAUUUGAUUCCAAACUCCUGGAUCCAUCUUUACCUGAAGCUAGGCCACACUGCUGGAUGUUUCAGCAGUGAGUCCAAUCAUCUCUUCUGAUGGUUUCAGCUGGGAAUCUGUUCAAAGAGUUAUAAUACAGUAAGCAAAGGGUCUAGUUUCUGGUCUUUAUGAGGUAUUCAGCAGGACCCUCUCUCCUCUUCAUUUGUACUGAUUGUCUGCAACUAUAUUCACCAUGAGCCUUAAGCGAAACUUCUUUGUCUCUCUGAAUCUUUUCUCCUCUGGGAUAAAGAGGUUCAACCAGAACAGGACUCUAAGGUCCUAUGCUGAAAUGAUGAUUCCAGAACUUCGUGAUAUUCUCCUGAAAUGUUUCAGAUCCAUUAAAGCUCAGAAUACACUCAACUUUACAUUCCAGUGAAUGAUUUCUAUACCUUUUCUAUAUAGCCCAGAGGGUCAGUAUUUGCCUGGACACUUUUUCAAUAUUACAGAAAACAAGUAAGAAAAAUAUAAGUUAUCUGGAAAAUAUUGGUUGAGGAAAGUUCUUCAACUAAACAUUACCUAUGACUCUCUUCUCUAAAAUCGAGGUGGCCAAAAGCCACAGGUAUCGGAGAUGUAAAAGUACUGCCCGUUUCUGCCACCCAAGAUUUCUGUGGUCCCUGGGUAGGUGGUAGACUGCUAGUACCACAGACAAUAUGUGAAGGCACAGUCCUCAGGA
rnacentral:lncRNA from 1 species